UGCANGUCGAACGGCAGCGCGGGGCAACCUGGCGGCGAGUGGCGAACGGGUGAGUAAUAUAUCGGAACGUACCCUGGAGUGGGGGAUAACGUAGCGAAAGUUACGCUAAUACCGCAUACGAUCUAAGGAUGAAAGUGGGGGCUUUGCAAGAACCUCAUGCUCCUGGAGCGGCCGAUAUCUGAUUAGCUAGUUGGUAGGGUAAAAGCCUACCAAGGCUUCGAUCAGUAGCUGGUCUGAGAGGACGACCAGCCACACUGGAACUGAGACACGGUCCAGACUCCUACGGGAGGCAGCAGUGGGGAAUUUUGGACAAUGGGCGCAAGCCUGAUCCAGCAACGCCGCGUGAGUGAAGAAGGCCUUCGGGUUGUAAAGCUCUUUUGUCAGGGAAGAAACGGUGAAGGCUAAUAUCCUUUGCUAAUGACGGUACCUGAAGAAUAAGCACCGGCUAACUACGUGCCAGCAGCCGCGGUAAUACGUAGGGUGCAAGCGUUAAUCGGAAUUACUGGGCGUAAAGCGUGCGCAGGCGGUUUUGUAAGUUUGUCGUGAAAGCCCCGGGCUCAACCUGGGAAUUGCGAUGAAGACUGCAAGGCUUGAAUCUGGCAGAGGGGGGUAGAAUUCCACGUGUAGCAGUGAAAUGCGUAGAUAUCUGCAGGAACACCCGUGGCGAAAGCGGCGCGCUGGACCACUACUGACGCUGAGGAACGAAAG
rnacentral:rRNA from 1 species